UUACCACCUGAAGCGUCUCCUGUCUCAUUGGGGGGCUGCGCCGGUCAAGGCUGAUGAACACCUGUGCAGCACCUGCCCAAGAUUGUGAACCUACCCAAGCUGGCAUGUCCACGAACCAGUGCGCCAUCUGACUCUGGGAGGCAGAACCCACAGGAAAGUGUGUGUGGCAGUAAAAGCUACUGAUUCACAGCCUGGAAAAAGACCUGCCGUAAAGCUGCACAAGUGGGACACAGGAUCACUGGGAGUGGAACAAAACCAACACAAAUCAGCUCUAUUUCCUGCUGGCUCCCGUAAACAACCAAAAUCUCAGCUCAGAUUCAAACUCAGCAAGCAGGUGCAUUUCUUUGACCUGAAAGUAGAAGAGGCCAAGAAAAGCCUUCGGACACUGCACAAGUGCAGGGUUAGCACCGCCCACCUCAGGUGACUGACUCAGCAAGGCUGGAAGACCGGACAGGACUGCACAGAGCACAAAGCUGAAGGAGGAAACUGAGUGCAGCCAACAGCAGCGCCCCUGGUGGGCUCUCAUUGUGAA